UCUUAUAUGGAGAGUUUGAUCCUGGCUCAGGACGAACGCUGGCGGCGUGCCUAAUACAUGCAAGUCGAGCGGACGGGUGGGAGCUUGCUCCCAGACCGUCAGCGGCGGACGGGUGAGUAACACGUGGGCAACCUGCCUGUAAGACUGGGAUAACUCCGGGAAACCGGGGCUAAUACCGGAUAACUCUUUCCCUCACAUGAGGGAAAGCUGAAAGAUGGCAUCUCGCUAUCACUUACAGAUGGGCCCGCGGCGCAUUAGCUAGUUGGUGAGGUAACGGCUCACCAAGGCCACGAUGCGUAGCCGACCUGAGAGGGUGAUCGGCCACACUGGGACUGAGACACGGCCCAGACUCCUACGGGAGGCAGCAGUAGGGAAUCUUCCGCAAUGG
rnacentral:rRNA from 1 species